rnacentral:rRNA from 1 species
GACAGAGGUCCCGAGCGUUAGGCGGAAUCACUGGGCUUAAAGCGUGUGUAGGCGGCGGCCUAAGUACCUUGUGAAGUCCCACGGCUCACCCGUGGAACUGCUCGGUAUACUGGGUCGCUUGAGCCACUUAGGGGCUACCGGAACAAAUGGUGGAGCGGUGAAAUGCGUAGAUAUCAUUUGGAACGCCAAUGGUGAAAACAGGUAGCUGGGAGUGUGCUGACGCUGAGACACGAAAGCCAGGGGAGCAAACGGG